GACAGUUUUGCCUGAGUUUGGGAGGCUUCAAUUGUGAAGACUCCUGUGUCAUAACAAAACUUUGAUUAAAUAAAACUGUUAUGUUUUUCUCUUGUUAACCUUUCUUUUGUUAUGGGAGGGUCAACUAAGACCCUUAUGGUAGGUGAGAAAAGGUAUCACAGAGGUAAGUUAAAAAGAGAACAGAUGCUAAAUUUAGAUCCUGGGGAGUUGCUGGCAGUUGGAAAUAAAGAAUGCAAAAUCGACUUUAGGAUGGAAAAUUGACUAUUUUUGAUAUGAAAAUGAUUAAAAAUAUGAAAGCCUCUGUCUUCAGUAAAGUUCCCUUAAGCAGCAGAAAGCCUUAGCAUUGCAGCCAGGGAGGCUCACAUGGGAUGUGGAACAAAGGGCUACAUCCCUUCCCAAACUUUAUUCUUUCGGAGGAGCAGCAGCAGUGCCCUCCUGGGAGUGGCUGAGUGACCCACUCACACACAUAAAGCCCUCAACAGGAGAGAAGCAGAGAGUGAUGGCAUUUGCUACUGGUGUUGUCAACCCCCAAAUUUGCAAGGCAAAGUCUGAAAACCUCAAGAAGUUGCUUUUUUUCCUCUUAGAUAUUAGUUUACAAUAAAAUUAGAUGCUCACACAUUGACUAGGAGUUGAAAAUGGGUUACUAAGCUCUUACCCACUGUGUCCUUUCUGCUUCCUGGCACAGACUGGAAAUCACUCACGCUGCUUUACAAAUGCAUGUACCUUACUCUGCAUUAAAAGGGCUAAUUUAAGCUCCAAAACUGUCAGAAUUUACCCUAAUUGGGCCUCUUAUGCAUAUAUAUGUAACACAUUGUUCAAAAAUUUCCCAGAAAGCAUAGUACACACUAAAACUCAUAAUGGAAAGUGAAUCAGGCUGGGCGUGGUGGCUCACGUCUGUAAUCCCAACACUUUGGGAGGCAGAGGCGGAUGGAUCACCUGAGGUCAGGAGUUCGAGACCAGCCUGGCCAACAUGGUGAAACCCUGUCUCUACUAAAAAUAUAAAAAUUAGCCGAGCAUGGUGGCACACAUCUGUAAUCCUAGCAACUUGGGAGGGUGAGGCAGGAGAAUCCCUUGAACGCGGGAGGUGGAGUUGCAGUGAGCUGAGAUGUCGCCACUGCAUUCCAGCCUGGGUGAAGAAAUGAGACUCCGUCAAAAAAAAAAAAAAAAAAAAGGCGGGGGGGGGUGGGGAGGGAGGAAGGAAGGAA
rnacentral:lncRNA from 1 species